rnacentral:tRNA from 1 species
GUCGGUAUAGCUCAGUGGCAGAGUGCAUGCUUAGCAUGCCUGAGGUCCUGGGUUCAAUUCCCAGUACCUCCA